UAAAAAAGUCUCUAUGAGCGGUUCUCCCAAAAGGAUCGACCCUCUAAGACUAAACUCUUUGAUAUCUCUUGAUUCGACCGAAAAAGUUCCGUUAUUGUAGAGAAAGUUCGACAUUCUCUUGAUGCCCCCUUUUGAGCUGUUUAUCGGUGACCUCCUUCGAGUUGGCCUUCUCGAGGAAGUCCCCGUUGUCUUCGAUAGUCCUUGAGGUCGUCAAAUUCUUUUUUUAGCAGAUGAAGCGAGUUCCCAUUCUUUUUGCAAUUUUUUUCCCAUACGGAAGGAAUCAGCUUCAAGAGAUCACCCCCCACUGAGGAGGUGGGAUCCAACUUCCCCUUUUCCGGUUGAACCAAAUUAAUCAUAUUUCAAUUAAUCUUUCGAAUACACAGCUCAAAAUAUGAUAGAUGGCAUCAUUCAAAUUUGUAAAAUACAUUGUCAUUUCAUUCGGGGCAUUAAGUUUGUAUUUGGAGUUGGUUACGAACUUGGCACUACAGUCAUCUUGAAAAUUGUUUGUUUUAGUUUUUGAUAUUAUUCUUUUGUCGCGAGGUGCCAAGUAACGCUUACUUUCAUACCAUUGUUGAAAAAAACUAGUUGUAUAUCAAUAAAAAAAUAUUUGAUUAGUCGUUUC